rnacentral:miRNA from 10 species
AGUCAGCCUGUUCUUUGAAGCUUUGAAGCCAGACAUUGACUUCUCUCUAGCUAUGAAAGUUCUGGAUGGCAUAUUCUUCUAAUAUAAGGCUGUCUUGUUUAAUUUGAAAAUCUGUU